AGUAGCGAAAAUGCGAGCAUACAAAUCUAGCUUUUUCUCUGAGCUUAUCAUCACAACUCGUCCAGCAUCAGUUGCAGCGAUAACCCAAAAUGUUCCAGAAAUUUUUUCUCUUUGCUUGCGUCUUGGCUGUGAUGGCCGUCGUCUAUACCAACUCGGCACCCACUGAAGAUGAACCCGUUAAUACCGACGAGCCGGUAGACCAGUGGCAGAAUCUCAAGGAGGAAUUGAAAGCUCAGAAACUGCAAAUGUAGCUUCACCGCAAUUACAAAUUCAGUGCGUCAAGAGGUCGACCGGUGUGGAACCAAUCGGCGCAAAUAAUGGGGAAUUGAUUUAUCUUGAUAGACACGAUGUCGGUUGUCUUGGUAACGAAUUCCUCCAACGUUUUCGUUUCAUCAGGAGUGGUGAUUUCCAUUUCUACUACUGUUACACUUGUUGUCAGUUUACUUUUUUAAUCUAAGCUAGUUGUGUGGUUGGUAUGCAGGGAGAUUCUCUUUAACUGUAUGGCAUCCAGUGGCCUAUGCUUCCUUGCUUAUUUUUAAAAUAAUAUCAAUUAUAUGAAUUACUGACUUACCAAAUGUUAAUUGGUGAUGACUGCAUGCUUUCUAGGGAUGUUGAAUAAACAAAUAGAAUCAG